rnacentral:misc_RNA from 1 species
GGAAGGAUCAUUACCAAACUUAUGCGAACCCGGCUUAGGCCGCGGUACGCUUCAACCCUUUGUGAACCAAAAAACCUUUUCGCUUCGGUUAGCAGGGAGCGGUUGUGGGUAAAACCCAACCAAUUCCGUCAGCCUGCCGACAGCACCAAACAAUUAAACCUGUCGUCAAACAUUGUCUGAACACCUUAUUUUCGAAUGAAAAUUAAAACUUUCAACAACGGAUCUCUUGGUUCUCGCAUCGAUGAAGAACGCAGCGAAACGCGAUAGUUAAUGUGAAUUGCAGAAUUCAGUGAAUCAUCGAGUCUUUGAACGCACAUUGCGCCUAUUGGUAUUCCAUUAGGCAUGUCUGUUUGAGCGUCAUUACAACCCCUCAGCGCAAGCUGGUAUUGAGCCGGUUGACCCUUAAAAAGUCGACCGGUUUUAAAGUUGUAAGCUCUGCUGGCUGCUACGCCUAACUAAAAACAUAGUAAACUUUUGCUUGUUUGAUGGUGAGGCUUGCUAGACCGGCCUGAACAAAACCUACAAAUUUCUAAGGUUUGACCUCAGAUCAGACAAGGAUACCCGCUGAACUUAAGCAUAUCAAUAAGCGGAGGAAAAGAAACCAACAGGGAUUGCCUCAGUAACGGCGAGUGAAGCGGCAAAAGCUCAAAUUUGAAAUCUGGAGCCUUCGGCUUCCGAGUUGUAAUUUGAAGAGGAUGUUUCGGUCGCGGCUUGGGCCCAAGUUCCUUGGAACAGGACGUCAUGGAGGGUGAGAAUCCCGUACGUGGCUACCGGCUUGCUUCUAUGUGAAACUCCUUCGAAGAGUCGAGUUGUUUGGGAAUGCAGCUCAAAAUGGGUGGUAAAUUUCAUCUAAAGCUAAAUAUUGGCGAGAGACCGAUAGCGCACAAGUAGAGUGAUCGAAAGAUGAAAAGCACUUUGAAAAGAGAGUUAAACAGUACGUGAAAUUGUUGAAAGGGAAGCGCUUGCAAUCAGACUCGCUUUCGGUUGAUCAACGUUCCUUUUGGUUCGUGCACUCUGCCGUUUGCGGGCCAGCAUCAGUUGAAGCGGUGGGACAAAGGUUUCGGGAAUGUGGCUCCCUCGGGAGUGUUAUAGCCCGUUUCGUAAUGCCACCAGCUUCGAUUGAGGUCCGCGGUUCGCCUAGGAUGCUGGCUUAAUGGUUGUAAGCGACCCGUCUUGAAACACGGACCAAGGAGUCUAACAUCUAUGCGAGUCUUUGGGUGUCAAACCCAUGGGCGAAAUGAAAGUGAACGGAGGUGGGAGUCUUCGGAUGCACCAUCGACCGAUCCUGAUGUUCUCGGAUGGAUUUGAGUAGGAGCAUAGCUGUUGGGACCCGAAAGAUGGUGAACUAUGCCUGAAUAGGGUGAAGCCAGAGGAAACUCUGGUGGAGGCUCGCAGCGGUUCUGACGUGCAAAUCGAUCGUCAAAUUUGGGUAUAGGGGCGAAAGACUAAUCGAACCAUCUAGUAGCUGGUUCCUGC